AGAUUGCCGAUGAAAAGUGCUCAGGAAACCUCUGAAAUCGGACACAGGUCUGCAUCCAGACCCUUCUGCCAUCCAAGGAAGAGGCAGUUGAUUUUAGAAAUGCCUCAUCAGUAGAGGCCGGAUUAUGUAUCAGCCGAGGCUUCCUUUUUCAGCUUCUUCCCAGGGAGCUCUUUUACUGAUUUUGGUCUGGGGUGUCUCCUUGCUGGUAUUUCUGGACCUGAUCUGUGGUGCCCCAAGCGUCAUUACCACAGUUAGAGCAUCGUUUGCCAUACCCCUGUUCCGGCACAGACAGAAGGCUUUCUCAAGACUCAGCACUUGACAGAUCAACACCCUUGCUUCCAUUCUCCUUCCUACAGUUCAUUGCUAUUCCAAUGGCUGGGUUAUAAACUCUUUCAUCCCUGUUAUAAACUCUAUUCUGGUCCAGGAAUUUAUGGACCUCUUAACUUCGAGAGUUCUGUUCAUCCUCCGAGAUAUGUAAUUUUUGCGUGUGAAAAUGCACCUCUGUGGAUUUUUUUUUUUUUCCUGAGGAAAUGGUCCAGAGCUUCCAUAAAUUCUCAAAGGGGUCGAUGAACAAUAAAAGUCAGAAUCAUGCUAAUCACAGGUUUCAGGCUGACGCAGGUGGUGUGGAUGUGACUGGAACUUCCUCUGAGCACUAAAAGCCUGUCUCAUGCAUGUGUAAGUGAGCAGGAGGUUCCUCUGGCCACCUUUCCCUGCAGGGAAGUCACAACCAUCCUGGACUGUUUCCUCUCUCCUGGCCCUGGAUGGCUGAGUUGGCCAUGCGAGGGCCUCAGCAGUCAAACUGAGGGGUAUUUUUAUCCUGCCAAAAGGAGCUGCCGUCCUGGGUGAGCUGUGACUUUGGCUCCAGCUGGAAAGGAAGAAGCUAGCAGGGAGAGAACAAAUCCUGACCACCACUACCCCGAGCUCUUGCUACCUGCAUUCUGCUACCCAUCUGUUACCUGCCCUCAGAACCAGCCCCAGGGGGAACCCUGGCUUCUUUAGCUUGGGCUUCAAUGGCGAGCCUGGGGUGAGAGAAGCCCAGAACCAAACAGGCUGGUUUUUCCGCCCUAUAAACCAGGCCUGUGGUUAAAGACAAAGCACCUGGAAAAGAUGGGAGCGGGCCCAGGCUGAAGCCUGAAGUGUCCGAUCUUCUGGCCUCACCUUUCCAGGGACUAUGAGAAGCAGUCAGUCCUAUCCACUUUCUGUUGCAGACUGGAUGAUGAUGGUUGGUGAGAAGGUGGGUGUGGACAUAGGGAAGAGGAUGGCCAGCCGUGCUGCAGAAAGAAGGUGUUGCAGAUACUGACUUGUUCCCCAGGGCUGUUCAUAUUAAGCUGCCGCGACCGAGUCAAGCAGAGAUGGAAUUGAGAAUUUCACUUUCCUUUCACAGCCCCCUGCAAUGGAACUUUUAAUCGAAGAUGCAUAGUUUUCUGCCUAAAUUAUGGAUCAUCCUCCAGAAGAUGGUUGAUAAAUCUUACCAUUUAAAAAGUUAUGCUUUGCUUUUUUUUUUUUUUUUUCCAGCCCCAAACACAGCCACUUGUCAUUUUUAGGUUAAUUUUAAAGGAAAAAUCUUAUCAACCUCUUUGAUGAGAUGUGCUUCAGAAAUGAAGAACAACACUCUGCUAGUAAAUUACUUCUCAAAGUGGUUUGUUUUCGCUCUCAGGCCAUCAUGGGGCCUAUCAUGACCCUAUUUGGAUAACUGGGCAUAACAUCAACAUUCCUUUGUUAAGGUUUUCUUCCUCUUAUCCGGAACCUAAAGCAAAAUAA